rnacentral:rRNA from 1 species
GACGAACGCUGGCGGCGUGCUUAACACAUGCAAGUCGAACGCUGAAGACCUGGCUUUUGUUGGGUUGGAUGAGUGGCGAACGGGUGAGUAACACGUGAGUAACCUGCCCUCUUCUUUGGGAUAACGCCCGGAAACGGGUGCUAAUACUGGAUAUUCACUGGCCUUCGCAUGGGGGUUGGUGGAAAGGUUUGUUCUGGUGGGGGAUGGGCUCGCGGCCUAUCAGCUUGUUGGUGGGGUGAUGGCCUACCAAGGCUUUGACGGGUAGCCGGCCUGAGAGGGUGACCGGUCACAUUGGGACUGAGAUACGGCCCAGACUCCUACGGGAGGCAGCAGUGGGGAAUAUUGCACAAUGGGCGAAAGCCUGAUGCAGCGACGCCGCGUGAGGGAUGGAGGCCUUCGGGUUGUAAACCUCUUUCGCUCAUGGUCAAGCCGCAACUGUGGGUUGUGGUGAGGGUAGUGGGUAAAGAAGCGCG